rnacentral:rRNA from 1 species
GAUGAACGCUGGCGGCGUGCCUAAUACAUGCAAGUCGAGCGAACAGACGAGGAGCUUGCUCCUCUGACGUUAGCGGCGGACGGGUGAGUAACACGUGGAUAACCUACCUAUAAGACUGGGAUAACUUCGGGAAACCGGAGCUAAUACCGGAGAAUAUAUUGAACCGCAUGGUGCAAUAGUGAAAGACGGUUUUGCUGUCACUUAUAGAUGGAUCCGCGCCGCAUUAGCUAGUUGGUAAGGUAACGGCUUACCAAGGCAACGAUGCGUAGCCGACCUGAGAGGGUGAUCGGCCACCCGGGAGCGUGGACGCGCUCCAGGCUCCUGCGGUAGGCAGCAGUAUGGUAUCUUCCGCAAUGGGCGGAAGCCUGACGGAGCAGCGCCGCGUGAGUGAUGACGGUCUCCGGAUCGUGAAGCUCUGUUAUUGGUUAUGAACAACUGUGUCAUUAACUAUGCACUUCUUGACGGUACCUAAUCAGAAAGCCACGGCUAACUACGUG